rnacentral:sRNA from 1 species
AGACAAAUCCAAUAGAACACAAGGUCAGAAGGGCCUAUACUUCUAAAGGUUGAAAGAUUCUUUUUCAAAAGAUGAUCUAAGAAAUGUAGGACCAGUAGAUGCUCAAGUAUAUCUUGAAGAAAUGUCUUGGAAUGAAGGUUGGAAUUUUUUUUUUCUCUUGACAUUUAAAAAAAAAGGAAUUUUCUAUAAGAAAAAAACUCAUUGGAUAUUUGGAAAUCUUAAAAAGAAAUAAUAGUGUGGCUUUCUAUAUAUAUGUGUUACUUCUCAGAGACAGUAAAAUGGAAUGACCAAUGGAUCAGAGAUUCUUUAAGUCAAAGGGCACAAGCAUUUCAACUUCCCAGGAAAAUGACACACUUAAAAUUUCCACGAUCAGGAGCCUAAGUAUUGCACCGUAUUGCCUCCUUUGGGCAUCUCACUUCAGCAUCUUGUUGGUUCAUGUAUCAUUUGUAAACAUCAAACACACACACACAUACCCCCAUAGGAUUAAAAAACAACAACAACAACAACAUGGUGUUGUGUUUAUAGACUUAAGUCAAGAUUCUUGAAAUAGUGUGACACUAGAAGAGAAAGUAUCCAGAUGUUGCAUUUGAUAAAUAGUCUGGCUUUCUCUAAAGGAUAGACUUCAGGCAAAAGCAUCAUCCUCCC